rnacentral:rRNA from 1 species
GGGGUCCCACCUGUUCCCAUCCCGAACACAGUAGUUAAGCCCUUAAACGCCGAAAGUACUUGGGUGGAAGCGCCCUGGGAGGAUAGGAAGUUGCCGGUU